rnacentral:lncRNA from 1 species
GCCCGGCCGGCGGCGGGGAGGUCGCGGGGCCGGGAGGCGCGAGGUUGUUCGAGAAGCUGAAAUAGAAAUCAAUUUCUUGAUUUCAGUAGGAAUAGUGAGUCCCUAAGAGGGGAGAAGCCAGGUGAGUCACUUAUCACUGGAGGAAUAAACGGUGGGCCUGGUCACCAUAAUGGCAGCAGGGUAUGGAAUGGGAUGACUACAGAAAUCUC